UUUUGCAGAGAACACCUUUCUGAGUAGGCGGCCUUCGUCCGCGCUUAGGGAUUAUAAUACUCACAAAGUUGAAUUCUCUUUCUUUCGAAUAAUAGAGGCGGAAUACCUUUUGCAGAGAACCCCUUUCUAUGUAGGCGGGCUUUGGCCCCGUUUAGGGAUUAUAACCCUCACAAAGUAGAAUUCUCUUUCUGAUUUGCGAAGAAAAGGGGCUGAACACCUUUUGCAGAGAACACCUUUCUAAGUAGGGGGCCUUCGGCCGCCCUUAGGGAUUAUAACCCUGACAAAGUAGAAUUCUCUUUCUAUUUUGCGAGGAAAGGGGGCUGAACACCUUUUGCAGAGAACACCUUUCUGCGUAGAUUAAAAACCCCCGAGAAAAAAUAAAUUAACAUCAUAACCUCAACAUCGGUUAAGCCUUCCGCAAUAUUCUUAUGCAGAGCUUUUUUUAACACAUUAUACUUGUUAGCGUCAACCAAUUUGUUUAGCACGGUGUACAUCAAAGAGACUUUUAAAUCUUUAUUCAAUAAAUCAAUUAGUUAAAUUUAAAAUAUAUUUUGGGGUAUAAUAUAUUUACGUUUGGUUUUCCCAACCGCUUGCUUUUAGGCUUCUGCCUCUAACGAAGCCGAAAAUCGUUUCUUUUAAUUUCAGCAAACUGACAGUAGCGAGGGUUGCCAGUAGGCACAAAGGAAAACCAAAGGUAAUUUAGAACGGUGUUUACACUUUCGAUUAAUUCUGUGUUGAUGGUAGCGGAGUUUCCAACAUUCUCCCCCCGGUAUCUCCCAUGAAGUGGGAAUACCUAAGCUUCUUGAAAGCCGCCACGUCGUACAUCUAGCACAGCUAUAUUCGUUGCGGGUUGGAGCUAUUGUCCCUGCGCAGUUGACCUGUAGUGCAAUUCACUAACUUUUAACGAUACGAUUUGUCAAGGUCUAAGAUACGGAUUUUGUGGUUUGCAGUAACGAUUGUGUUAUUCGGCAACUCUUUUUUAACUACACUAAACAGCUGACAUUUUCUUUUUAUUUAAAUAAGAGAAAGGUGGCAUCACAGCUUAACGAAACGUCAAAAAUUGUGAAAAGCACAAAGAAGAAUGACGAAAAACAAAUAAAUUCUUUGCUUGCAAAGUGGUAUACACAUAGUUUUCUGGAUGUUUUAAUAUAUUUUUACAAAAAAAAGGCUUCGUCAGUACACAGUGUUCAAAUGAGAAGCCGGACAACAGCAUAACAACUAAGUCGCAUGGUGGACUUUUUGGCGGAAACGCCGGGAUUGGCAGGAUCAAGGUUCCAGAAGCUUCAUGGCAAAUCGGUCUGCGACAAGAAGUGGAGUGAACUAGCGUCAAUGCUGAAUAGCCUUGGUGGUUCGGUAAAGAACGUCGACCAAUGGUGCACAGUAUGGAGGGAUUUGAAGAGCCGUACUAGCAUUAAGGUGCGUGAUAGAAAAAGAAAGCAGGCAAUGACGGGAAACAUUCCCAUUAACCCACCCACUGAGCUUGAGAGGCGUAUAAUUGCCCUUGUCGGUAGCGACUAUGUGCAGGGCCAUGAAACUGUUGCUGAAAAUGUGCCAGUGGAAAAGGUAAAAAGCAAGUAAAUAGUUUUGAAUAGCACAGCAGUAACAAUUCUUCCCAUCAUUAGGAACUCCAACUGCGUAUGGAAGAAGGUGAGAAAGUGUCAUCAUCGAGAUGCCAUCUAUUUCUAACGAAGUGAGCAUUGAGAUUUGCACAUCGACUCCCAUAACUCCUGCAGGAAAAACGCCACGUAGAGGUGCAAAAACAAGGCGUGUGGACGGUGGUACCGAGGCCCAAAAAACAUUUUUGGAAAUUGCUCAGACCCAAGCAAAUGCCUUAAAAAUGCUAGCAGAGUCGAGUGCAGCGAAUGUAUACAUUUACAUUUACAUUUGUAUACAAAUACCAAAUAGACAAGCAGAUGCUUUGAAGGUAAUUUUUGUACAUACUAAUAAAUACCCUGCAGUGAAAAGCCAAACCAGUUGGAAAAAAUAC
rnacentral:misc_RNA from 1 species